rnacentral:rRNA from 2 species
UUCCCGUUGAUUGACGUGCUUGCACUGAUUUCAACAUUGGAACGAGUGGCGAACUGGUGAGUAACACGUGGAAAACCUGCCCAGAAGCAGGGGAUAACACUUGGAAACAGGUGCUAAUACCGUAUAACAACAAAAACCGCAUGGUUUUUGUUUGAAAGGUGGCUUCGGCUAUCACUUCUGGAUGGUUCCGCGGCGCAUUAGCUUGUUGGUGGGGUAACGGCUCACCAAGGCGAUGAUGCGUAGCCGACCUGAGAGGGUAAUCGGCCACAUUGGGACUGAGACACGGCCCAGACUCCUACGGGAGGCAGCAGUAGGGAAUCUUCCACAAUGGACGCAAGUCUGAUGGAGCAAUGCCGCGUGAGUGAAGAAGGGUUUCGGCUCGUAAAACUCUGUUGUUGAAGAAGAACGGGUGUCAGAGUAACUGUUGACAUCGUGACGGUAUUCAACCAGAAAGCCACGGCUAACUACGUGCCAGCAGCCGCGGUAAUACGUAGGUGGCAAGCGUUGUCCGGAUUUAUUGGGCGUAAAGCGAGCGCAGGCGGUUUCUUAAGUCUGAUGUGAAAGCCUUCGGCUUAACCGAAGAAGUGCAUCGGAAACUGGGGAACUUGAGUGCAGAAGAGGACAGUGGAACUCCAUGUGUAGCGGUGGAAUGCGUAGAUAUAUGGAAGAACACCAGUGGCGAAGGCGGCUGUCUAGUCUGCAACUGACGCUGAGGCUCGAAAGCAUGGGUAGCGAACAGGAUUAGAUACCCUGGUAGUCCAUGCCGUAAACGAUGAGUGCUAGGU